rnacentral:tRNA from 2 species
CGGAGUAUAGUUUGGUAGUGUAUCAUCUUGGGGUGAUGAAAGUCGUGGGUUCAAAUCCCGCUACUCAAA